CCUUUUGUAUAAUGGGUCAGCGACUUAUAUUCUGUAGCAAGGUUAACCGAAUAGGGGAGCCGAAGGGAAACCGAGUCUUAACUGGGCGUUAAGUUGCAGGGUAUAGACCCGAAACCCGGUGAUCUAGCCAUGGGCAGGUUGAAGGUUGGGUAACACUAACUGGAGGACCGAACCGACUAAUGUUGAAAAAUUAGCGGAUGACUUGUGGCUGGGGGUGAAAGGCCAAUCAAACCGGGAGAUAGCUGGUUCUCCCCGAAAGCUAUUUAGGUAGCGCCUCGUGAAUUCAUCUCCGGGGGUAGAGCACUGUUUCGGCAAGGGGGUCAUCCCGACUUACCAACCCGAUGCAAACUGCGAAUACCGGAGAAUGUUAUCACGGGAGACACACGGCGGGUGCUAACGUCCGUCGUGAAGAGGGAAACAACCCAGACCGCCAGCUAAGGUCCCAAAGUCAUGGUUAAGUGGGAAACGAUGUGGGAAGGCCCAGACAGCCAGGAUGUUGGCUUAGAAGCAGCCAUCAUUUAAAGAAAGCGUAAUAGCUCACUGGUCGAGUCGGCCUGCGCGGAAGAUGUAACGGGGCUAAACCAUGCACCGAAGCUGCGGCAGCGACGCUUAUGCGUUGUUGGGUAGGGGAGCGUUCUGUAAGCCUGUGAAGGUG
rnacentral:rRNA from 1 species